rnacentral:rRNA from 1 species
UACAGAGGUCUCAAGCGUUGUUCGGAUUCAUUGGGCGUAAAGGGUGCGUAGGUGGCGCCGUAAGUCAGGUGUGAAAUUUCGGAGCUUAACUCCGAAACUGCAUUUGAUACUGCGGUGCUUGAGGACUGGAGAGGAGACUGGAAUUUACGGUGUAGCAGGUGAAAUGCGUAGAGAUCGUAAGGAAGACCAGUGGCGAAGGCGGGUCUCGUGGACAGUU